AUUUAUUUAAAGGUAAAAACACUUUUUAUCUUUAAAAAGAAAACAUAAAAGAAAAGGAUAACUAACCUAAACUACCCACAUCUGCAUCACGUUCUCAUUUUCCCAUUUCCCUUUGCACGAUCAACAGAUAUGGGUAGAUUGGCAUCUUCAUUACUCCUUUUAGUGCAUGUACAAUAGUAACAAAAUCCACGCCACUUUAUUUUCAUUGUUCACACACAUACUCUCUGUCUGUGUUGCUGCUUUUGAUUUUCCGUGGCAUUCUGAUCUCUGCAUAUUGCCAUUCUACAAGCUUGAUGAUCACCAUUCUAGCAGCAUUUUUGGCAGUUGAUAAAUAAGAAGAAGCAGCCAGAUUUGCAAGGGAAAUUAACAAAAGUGAAAAAAGAAGAAAGUUGUAUACUGUGGAAUUUUAUACUUGUGAUAAUUGGUUAAACUUUGGAUUGACAUUGUUUUUGUGAUGUGAAUAAAAGAAAGUGUGGAUAUGGGUUGGUAACAUGAAAAAUAUACUUUUUCUUUUAA